rnacentral:pre_miRNA from 1 species
UUUGUACUCCCUCCGUCCCAAAAUUCUUGUCUUAAAUUUGUCUAAAUAUGAAUGUAUCUAGUUACAUUUUAGUGUUAGAUACAUCCAUAUCUAAACAAAUGUAAGACAACAAUUUUGGGACGGAGAGAAUACUAC